rnacentral:tRNA from 1 species
AAUUUAUUUUUUGUUAAUUAAGUUUACUAUUUUGGCAAAAAAAUGUAAUGAUUUUAGAAUUCAUAAAU